GAUGAACGCUGGCGGCGUGCCUAAUACAUGCAAGUAGAACGCUGAAGGAGGAGCUUGCUCUUCUGGAUGAGUUGCGAACGGGUGAGUAACGCGUAGGUAACCUGCCUGGUAGCGGGGGAUAACUAUUGGAAACGAUAGCUAAUACCGCAUGACAACAGUUAUUGCAUGAUAACUGUUUAAAAGGGGCAACUGCUCCACUACCAGAUGGCCCUGCGUUGUAUUAGCUAGUUGGUGAGGUAACGGCUCACCAAGGCGACGAUACAUAGCCGACCUGAGGGGGGGAACGGCCAAACUGGGAAUGGGACACGGCCCAGACUCCUACGGGAGGGAGCAGGAGGGGAUCUUCGGCAAAGGAGGGAAGGCUGACCGAGCAACGCCGCGGGAGUGAAGAAGGUUUUCGGGUCGUAAAGCUCUGUUGUAAGAGAAGAAAGAGUGUGAGAGUGGAAAGUUCACACUGUGACGGUAUCUAACCAGAAAGGGACGGCUAACUACGUG
rnacentral:rRNA from 1 species